rnacentral:rRNA from 1 species
UACCAGCACCCCGAGUGGUCGGGACGUUUAUUGGGCCUAAAGCAUCCGUAGCCGGUUCUACAAGUCUUCCGUUAAAUCCACCUGCUUAACAGAUGGGCUGCGGAAGAUACUAUGGAGCUAGGAGGCGGGAGAGGCAAGCGGUACUCGAUGGGUAGGGGUAAAAUCCGUUGAUCCAUUGAAGACCACCAGUGGUGAAGGCGGCUUGCCAGAACGCGCUCGACGGUGAGGGAUGAAAGCUGGGGGAGCAAACCGG